AGGUUGUUAGCUCAGUUGGUAGAGCAACGGACUUUUAAUCCGUGUGUCGCGUGUUCAAAUCAUGUACAUCCUA
rnacentral:tRNA from 1 species